GGUUCUGUAGUGUAGUGGUUACCAUGCUCGCUUCACAUGUGAGAGGCCCUGGGUUCGAUCCCCAGUGGAACCA